CCAUUACCAUGACACCAUCUUCAAUUAGCUUGUGCCACAUUCUGACUUCCCCAGAGUCUCUCAUUUCCUUGCCCUUUUAAUAUUGCAGGCUCAUGAAUUAUGUGGGGUGGGGACCAAGGAAGGCAUAUUUCUAUUUUUCAUAACAGUCAUACAAGACCCAACUCUAAAUUUCUGAGAAAAGAGCACAACCUACCAGCAAGAGAAUGCACCAGAAAAAAACAGAAGAAAAGUGCUGUGUAGUCUUUACACAAGAAGGGUUUGUGACAAACAUGAAGAUGUUCUGCUUCUGUGGACCUGACAAUAAAGGCAUCUUUCCUGUAACCAGACCUCAGCUGGAGCAGAUCAAAAAUUGAGAGAUGAAAGGUCAGAAUUUGAAAGAUGAACAAAAUAUUUCAUUUUCACUAGAAAAUGUAAAUUGUGUGGACUGAAAUUUCAUAGCAAUGCAUCUGAUUCCGAAAGCAGAUCUUACUAAAAAGACUGUCAUGAUUAGGAUGUAACUUGGUCAAGAGAGGACACUAGAGCCAACUCGGAAGGUCAGCAGUUCCACAUACCUGUGAGCAGCUGACAACCAAGUAGCUGUGUUUAAAUCACUAUGAUAAGCCUGUAUAUCUAAGGCUUUCCCUGAGGACAGGACAUCAACAAGAAUUCUCAGCGCUCGUGGAAGGACUGUGCCUGGGAUGACUCUCAUUUUGAACUUCAAAAUAUUUUAUGAUGUGGUGAUUUUGUGAUAAAGGAGAAAGGGUUCCUAAUGCCUGUGGUACUAGUGCCCCAAAUGGAAAAUCAAAAGAAAGAACACACUGACAGCUGUGAUUUUAUUUAAAGUAAAGACUGCACAGGUAAGAAAGUGAACAUUCAAACAUUUCAUUUUAUACGAUAAAAUAUGAAGGUAAAAUCCCCAUGUUCAAAGGUCCCCUUGCAUGUUAUUUUUUGCCAGCUCUGGCUGCUUUUUGUAUGUUUCCUAAUUGACUUAAAAACAAAUGAGAGACCGAAAAAAGAAAGUAAGCGGUUCCUGGCCUUUUUACCAGUUUAAUCCUCUCUUUUCACGUUUGCCAUGUACUCCUUGGAUUUACAGUCUACUGUUUCAGAAUGUUGUACUGAAAAUACCAACAAUACAGAAGAAACAGAACAUUAGUGUGCUCAAGCAGUGUGACGUGAGGAAAUGGCUAGAGAAAGUAAAGGACUUUCAAUUAAACAACAGAAGAAAACAACCAAAGCAUUGUUUAUACACCUUUGUGUAGAAAACAUCCAGAUUUACAUAGAAGACUAAAAAUUGUGCUUGUUUCUUUUUCUAUUAAUUAAUUUUUAAAGAAUUCUUUUUGUUUUUCAGCUAAAUCAAUAAAUACAGAAUAGAAUAAAAAUAAAGACAGUCCUUCCCUACAAACAUUUCGAGGAGAAAAUGUCCUCUGAAUUUUAACAGAUGUCCUUCAUUCACACAACCUGCAGCCUAUAACAUAGGCACUGGCACUGUAGCAGUAACAGGCAUCUUCUGAGAGUUUCUUUUCAUAUACAUCAUUCAUAUUGGUAUCAGCUAAAUAUGCCACAGAUAAAAAAUUGAUAGAAAACUAUCCAACUGAGCUUUUAAAAAAGCUGUGCUAGAUCCUGCCAGGAUAGACUCAAGGAUAUGGUGUUUAAUCAUUCUGUAUUCUUGGAGAAAGGACCAAGAUUAAAGCAGUGAACUAAAGGAUAUGAAAGGUUAGGAAAAAUACCAUGUGCAUGAAGCAAGGUUACAGAUGGACUUGACCUUCAUAACUGUGUGCUGAAAUACCCGCUUAGGCAGACAGCUGGACAUGUGUUCCCUUUAGAAACUGGGCAAACCCUUCAGUUCAUUUCACAAUGACCAUCAGAUCAUGCUGAUGUUCUUGUGUUAGUUUACAUUUUAAUCAGUGACCUGAAGAUGGCAGUCUCUAAGUAUCAAGACCAAUAUCUAAAAUAAUAGAGACUUCCUAUUUAUCUGUGAAGAAUUAUAGCUUUCUGUACUGAGCUUGAUUGUUCCUAAAAAAACUACAAUAAGCAGAUAGAGUGGUGAUGUGUGUUAAUCCUAAACUCAGCUAGAGACCUUGCCCUACCAACAAAUACAACAGCCAGGGUUAUGAGGAAUUACUUCCAGUAAUUCCUCCAGAAAUGAAAAUAGUGGUUCAGGAUCUCAUGACCUACAUUGUGAACUUAAUUCGUAGCAUUACUGCAAGGAGUUUGUUUGUAGAGAUUUUCAUUGUAUUUACUAUUCCAAACAAAGGAAAUUCUUGGUCAUUUUCUUUCAUUGCAACAUUUUCUUGGAAGAUUCAUUUGUAUAUUUUUACUUUCUUUUUGUUUGUAUAUUCUGUAUGAGACAUGGAAGAAAUUUCAAAACAAUGCAUGAACCAGGAUUUUCCUUUUCAAUAUAACAUCUAGUCUUCAAAAGACUCUCAUAUAUGUGGAUUUGGGACUGUACUGCUAAACUAGAAAUCUUUGGAAGUUGACACAGAUGUAGGGUUUCCAAGUUUUGGGGUGUCCCAUUUGAUGAUACAAAUGGGUUGGGUUAUCAGAUGAUAUAGCUACUAUUCAUCUCUUUAGCAUUUUGUUUGCUGAAACCUUCUGAAGACAGCUACUUCAAAUUGAAAAUCUUAAUAAAGAUGUCACUUUUGAAAAUACUGACCUAACAGUUUUGUCUUUUCCAACUGUGUUAUGUUAUACCACCUCAAAAGUAAGUAGCUGAUUUAUCAAUUAUUUUGGACAUAUUCUCAUGGCAGUUCUGUAUUAUUAUGUUCUGGUAAGGACUUACGCUACAAAGCCAACAGAGGCCUUCCUAAGCAUGAAGAAAAGGCCUGGCAGGGGAAUUCCUUGUGACUUUUCUAUUCCUUUUUGAAUAUGAUGAUAUGAAUACAACAUUUGAUAACACUGCAUGUGCUAUGCAUGUGAUAUGAAAGUCUU